AGAGAACCAAGCAGGGACAAGAACACUGUAGGAGAAUCUGGCCCCAUUUAAUCCGCAGUACCCUGCCAGAAAAAGAAGGAGAGGCUGAUCCCCAGUAAGAGGGAACAGAGUGGCACCCACAAAUACGGAAUGAAGACAUUUGGAGAAGAAGCGUUUACUGAAAGGAGAUUCCUGGGCUGGAGGAAAACCAUGAUCUACAGUUCAUGUUGACAGAUAUUGUAUUUUUGGUCCUAGAUCUGACUUUUGAAAUGACUUAUCACAAAUUCAAAUUUAGCAAUCAUGAGUGAAGUACCCACGAUGUGCUAAGCAUCUACCUCUGCAGAUAGAAGAACACUUACUGUUCCUGAGCAUGGGAGGGAAUAGAAGUUCCUGGGUCCUGGCCUCACCUCAUCAGGCACUGCCAAAUUUGACACCUCCUUCCUGUUCACGGCAGUCCUUUGCGAUAGGGUAUUAGAUGCCACCAAGUAGCUGCAUAACUCACCCAUUUGGUCAGAGCCUGGGUCUAAGCCAGGUCUGACAGACUCCAAAGCAAGCCCUGUUUACAGCAUGACUGGGAUCCAGUGGACGAGGGAACUGAGCUGUCAAAACUAAGUGACUUGAUUGAGGCCAUGCAGCUGGCGAGGGGAGGACCAGGAUCUGAACCCAACUGGGUCUCCCAAGCCUGGGCCACUGAACCAUUUCACCUCUUGGAAAAACUUAAUGGUCAGAGUGGCCCACCCAGUCCAUGGACAGCAUGGAGGUAAUGAACUUUAAUCAGAAACUUAUUGUGCAUUGACUGAGCAUUUAUUCUUUUAAGACAAUAUGUUUGGAUGUCUUUGGUUGUACAGAAUUCAAAUUAUUAAUAAUGUUCACAAAAGUUGCCCUGUAUUUUUAUGCUGAAAUACAACAAAAUGUCAACUUGGUUCCAGUGACCUUUAUACCGUACAUAUUAUGUUUAUUGUAGUUCUGUAUUGUAGCUAAAUUUAUUAUCUAACUUGUUGAUGCCAAUAAGCUGAUGCAUAUGAAAGGUACCUGCAAAAAAAUUA
rnacentral:lncRNA from 1 species